UACAGAGGGUGCGAGCGUUAAUCGGAAUUACUGGGCGUAAAGCGCGCGUAGGCGGCUUUGCAAGUCGGGUGUGAAAUCCCCAGGCUUAACCUGGGAACUGCACUCGAGACUGCAUUGCUAGAGUAUGGGAGAGGGAAGUGGAAUUUCCGGUGUAGCGGUGAAAUGCGUAGAUAUCGGAAGGAACAUCAGUGGCGAAAGCGACUUCCUGGACCAAUACUGACGCUCAUGUGCGAAAGCGUGGGGAGCAAACGGG
rnacentral:rRNA from 1 species